ACCUUACUGACGAGUGCCAAUCAGGACGAAACCCAGGUCCAGGGU
rfam:Schistosoma mattheei strain Denwood, Zambia genome assembly, scaffold: SMTD_contig0006251